rnacentral:rRNA from 1 species
UAGUCGGUGAUGAUUUGUGGUUAGCGGAGAAAUUCUAAUCGAACUCGGAUAUAGCUGGUUCUCCUCGAAAUAGCUUUAGGGCUAGCGUCUGAACAUAGAGUAUUGAAGGUAGAGCACUGAAUAGGCUAGGGGACUUCACGGUUUACUGAACCUUAUCAAACUUCGAAUGUCAAUUACUUGUUUUCAGGCAGUCAGACAGUGGGAUCUAAGUUUCAUUGUCAAAAGGGAAACAGCCCAGAUCUACAGCUAAGGUCCCUAAGUUCAUGUUAAGUGGAAAAGGAUGUAUUGUUGCUUAGACAACCAGGAUGUUGGCUUAGAAGCAGCCACUCAUUCAAAGAGUGCGUAAUAGCUCACUGGUCGAGUGACAACGCGCCGAAAAUUAUCGGGGCUAAAACAUGACACCGAAGCUUAGGAAUUGGUGUAAAUCAAUUGGUAGAGGAGCAAUGUGUGCGCGCUGAAGCGUUAGCGGAAGCGGGCGUGGAGUGCACACAAGAGAGAAUGCCGGUAUAAGUAGCGAAAGCGGAGUGAGAAUCUCCGCCAUCGAAAGUCUCAGGUUUCCUGGGGAAGGUUCGUCCCCCCAGGGUUAGUCGGGGCCUAAGUUGAGGUCGAACGACGUAGAUGAUGGACAGCAGGCAGAUAUUCCUGCACCACCACAGGACGUUAUUACUGAUGCAGUGACACAGGAGGAUAGUCAGACCUACCCGGAUGGUAAAGGGAGGCUGCAAUACGAGGCUUAAGCGUAGUGAAGUACGCGCUUAGUUAAGGCUGAGUGUUGUGGGGAACGAAUUAAAGUAGUGGAAGCUGAUGAAUUCACACUGGCGAGAAAAGCUGCUAAGGAGGAAUGUGGUGCCCGUACCGCAAACCGACACAGGUAGACGAUGAGAGAAUCAUAAGAUGAUCGGGAUAACUCUUGUUAAGGAACUCGGCAAAAUGACCCCGUAACUUCGGGAGAAGGGGUGCCACGCAAGUGGCCGCAGUGAAAAGUCCCAAGCAACUGUUUACCAAAAACACAGGUCUCUGCAAAAUCGAAAGAUGAUGUAUAGGGGCUGACGCCUGCCCAGUGCUGGAAGGUCAAGGGGAGCUGUUAGCGCAAGCGAAGCGGUGAACUUAAGCCCCAGUGAACGGCGGCCGUAACUAUAACGGUCCUAAGGUAGCGAAAUUCCUUGUCAGGUAAGUUCUGACCCGCACGAAUGGCGUAAUGAUUUGGGAACUGUCUCAACAAGAGACCCGGCGAAAUUGUAGUAUGCGUGAAGAUGCGUAUUAACCUGCGACUGGACGGAGAGACCCCGUAGAGCUUUACUGUAACUU